GGGAAUCUUCUCAUUAACUGCCCAGCAAUUGUGGCCACUGGAGACUGGGAGAAAUGCCUGGCAAAUGCAAGAACUCUUCUUCGAUUCAUCCCCAACUUGGUUGUGUCUGUCAGACAUUGCCCUGGAGUCCGUGGUAUGGAGUUGCGGCUUUUACUAGUUUCAUUAUAGACAGCUUGUUGUUCAACUUUUGGAUGUGUGGGUCAGAGGGCAGGAGCGCUUAUAUAAACAUGCGUUUAUUCUGCCAUCUUUUCAGCAGUCCAGAUGCUUAAACAUUGACUUUGAAGCUAAUGUCCUUCAUAAUCUACAUUUGAGCAAACAGAAGGAAGCAAUACUGCCAGCAAGAAAGGACGAUUAACAACUUAAUCAAUACGGGAUUUUUGUUUACUGUUCUGUGUGGAAAGAUAACUUUUAAGUCAAGUUCCUGUCUCAUUGAUUAGAGAUAUCAGUACCUUCUGGUUUGAAAAUAGAGGACAUAUGACAUUUUAAUGAAUUUAAGUUAUCAGCCAUUGACAAUUAUUAGUUAGCUGAUUAAAUAGGAUAGAAUACUCCAAACUAGCACAUCACCAGAGUUACCAAGAGACGCCUAAGCUCUUCUUUAUGAACAGGUUGUUGGUGGAGCUGUGCCACUGAGGUGGAUUAACAUCUCUGACACCUUAACUGUGCCACAGGUUUUCUUACCUGUCUUUUCAAUCAACCCAUUUUAAAAUUUAGUUCAUCAAGAAAGAGAAAGGUGUUCAGUCUUCAUCAGGAUUCCUUUUGGUUUCUCAUGAAUAUAUAUUCACAUGGUUUGGAGACCUUGGAACCCACCACCAAAGCACGCUGAGUUAAUGUUUUGAAAGUGCAUUCGUAGGUAGAUCCUGGGGCUGGGGUUUUAUUUGGCCUGUUUGUAGAAUUGAAGCCUCCUUGCCUCAGUGGUCAGUACAUCCCACCAGACAUCCAGCAGCAAGCUUUCGUCACCUUCAGAGCUCUGGCAUAAUGAUCAAGGAGCACUAGUGACAGCCUUGCUGUAUGCACCAAGCUCCACCCUGGGCAGUGCCUUUCCCUAACGUCUGUCCUGGUGUGAAAUGGAGACUUGAAGACCGGCACCCACAUGUAAGAGAGGUUAAUGAAGGGAGGGUGGCAGAGGAGUCAUGUGAAGGAAAGCUACCUUUAGUCCUCCAUUGCAAUACUGUCCAGUGUCUCCAGUGUGCUAGAAACUGUGCUGAAUGCUGGGCACGUGGCAGGGGUCAAAGCAGACAGAAAUCCCUGCCUCAUGAACCCACUUUCUUUUAGGGGAGACAGACUAGAAACACAAAAAGGACAUUGAAUAGUACAAUUGAGAGAUGAGUCCUAUGGAGAAAAAUCCAGCCAGAAAGGGAGAUGCAGGAGAUAGCACCAGAUCUUCUCGAUGUUGUUUUCAUCAUGGACAGAUGCGUUCCUUAGAAGAUGAAGUGCUAGUGAUUCCUGACUUUUUCUCACCUUCACAUCGAUUGAUCUGAAUUUGGAGAGUCUGUUUUCUGUGCCUGGCUCUGCACUCAACUCUGCAGGGGACCCUGUCGAGGUCCCCACACUGUGGCUUCAGGUAGACAGAGCGGAUGGGAGCCCAUUUCAGUUCAUUGUCUUGCUGACCAACGGGGAACUGUGGUCAGGACUUCAGAACUCAUUAUUUGAAUAGAAGUUUAAAGCAUCUGGAUGAUGAUGCUGUAGCUAAAACAGCUGCUUGUCAGAAGAGACCCUGUUUAACACUUCUAAACUUGUUUUAGAGGUGGAGGAAAGGAUAAUCUGGGAAGGCCUCCAUCUCAAGUCCACAGGUUGGUAUCAGCUGUGUUCAUCCCCGAAAAGGAAAAUAAAAUGACAACAAUAUUUUGGUCACAGAAUUCCUGAGAAACCUUGUUUCUACCUUUCUGUCUCUAAGAUAGGGACAUGAAUUCCCCAUGAUCUGGGUGAUAGGGUUAGGGCGGCCAGGACACUGUUACUUUGUGUGUGACACAGGUGGCUCCUCAUGACAGUUCCUCCAUACCUUAGAACAUGUUGUCUGUCUGGUCAUCCCUGGGGGUAGAGCUGAGUGACCCAGCAGUGGGAGAUUUAAUGACUGGAGAAGAUGAUGGGAUGUGUUUAAUUAUCCCCAGGGGUAGGGCCAAUUUGUCACCCUUUAAAUAAACGUAUUUGCAUAUAAACUAAAGCACCUUAGGGCAUCAUUACGGAAAGUGUCUAAGCUAAGCAAAUGUCUGAUACAGUUAUGUGCCUGCAUUAAAAGAAAGCAGCCCCUUUAUCUUGCCUUAAUAUCCUUACAGUGUUUUAGUAAGUUCAUAAUGCAUCCUGUAUGUGCAUUUUUUGGCAUAAAACACUGAAAGGUGGAGAAUUGACUUCAGUUCUCUCCAUCCUUUCCCCUUAAGUGUUGGUGGCGCUGCAGGGGCAGCAUGCCUCCCAUUGGAAGUGGUGACUUCCUCUUUGAUAGAGGUUUGCCUGUCUCUUGAAAAUGAAAAGAAGCAGAGAUUGAUCUCUGGAGUCCCAUGGUCCAGUUUGGACUAUUCGGAAUAUUUUUUAUGGGAUGUUAAAAACAAUAUUAGAGACGUGAGAUAGUAAAUUUGUGGUAAUACCGGAUCCAGGAAGCUUACAGUGAAGAGUAUGAACUUAACCUGAAAAGUAUUUCUCUGUUCUAUAAAUCUCUCAGUGACAUUUGGAUUAAUCAAGCAUAAUUAAAUGUAGUUAGAUUUUUGUCAGAUUGUAGUUCAAAAUAAUAUUCAUCUAUGGAGAGGGUAAUAUAUUCUGUAGAAAUUUUAUUAAGCACUUUAGUUAAGCAAACACUAAGGAGAACAAAAUCAACCUCAGGAAGGUUAAUUACUAAAAAAAUCACAAAGUAUAGUAGAUUAUGUAAAUCGUUUUAAUUUUGAAUACCAUGGCUUGAGCUUUAAUUUACAUAGAGAGGUAUUUUGGAUUUGUUUUUCACAUUAUAUUUUCUAGUACAGGAUUGCAAUUGCAUUCUUGAAAAGUUCUACUCAUUUUAGGAUUCCAUUAAGUUUGCUUAACUUUUUUCAUGUUACAAUUUCCAAAAGCAAAGAAUUACAAUUGUAUUCUAGCUAAUUAUUUUAAUGUUUCACUAACUUUGUGUAUAUUGUAAGACCAUAUUUUUAUUUCUAUACAAAUGAUGAUUUUAAGAGAAGUAUCAGGAGAGAGAAUGUAUAUGAAAGCAUCGCGCCCACGCCUGGCCUUGCAAUAAGUGUUCAUUUAAAAGAAACACAUUUACAAAGGUAAAACAUAAGAGUUUAGACUAUAGCGAUAAAUCUUUUUAUUUUAGUAAUUUCUUUAAAGGGAAAAGUAAAGAGAUCAAAAUGAUUUUAUAUGUAUUUUUUUUGUACUCAGAGAAUUACAUUUUCACUACCCCCGCCUGUCUCAGGGAAUAGCCUUUGAUAAGAGUCCCAUGGAAAUCUCUGGAACUCUGUUACAGUGUGUUCAGAUUUGUUAGUUCCUAUGUAAAUUUCAGAGAUAGAGCUUCAAAACUAGAGUAUUGUAAUCUCAGGAACAUAAGAUUAUCCAAGAAGCCUGAACCUUGCUCUUUUCAUGAUAAAUGACAUCCAAAUUUCUUUUGUCUAGGAGAUAAGCAUAGAUCCCUUUUAUCACGCUUCUCUGAGAUUUUCACAGAAAAACUCUGCAAUUUGAUUUUGUUUGAUAAUUUUGCUUUUUGGCUUUUCAGUGACGACUCUAUUUUCCAUUGGAACUGACUCCUUUGGGGAUAAUAAGCUUUCACUUAAAAGAACAUUCCAUUAGAUAGUUCUAAGUUCAAUGAACCUAAAAGUGGCUACUUAAUUUGAGUAAUCUGGAUAACUUUUGCAAAUGGGUCAAAACAGCACAAGUAUCAACAAUCACGUAUGUACUGAGUAAUAUUUGCCCUCCAGUUAGCAAAGUCAAGAAAUGUCUAACUGGCACAUAGCACUGGUUUUAACUACUCUUUAGUUCAUCUUUGCCUUCCAAAUUGGUUGAAAAUGGCAAGCUUAGAAUGGAAUGCAUAUGAAUAACAGAACCACUUAAUGUUUUAAAAUAUUCAUACCUUGAGAUUCUUUUUGAGAGAAAAAAAAAGAAUCUUAACAUCCAAUUCUAGUUGUUUUGGCUUUUCACAUAUACUAGACAUGAAAAAGGCAGUUACAAAAGUGAAAUCCGAUUGGAAGUCAGUGGUGUCCGCCAUUGAGCCGUGCUAAAUGUCGUGUCACAAAAGGAGUUUGUGAAAACAGGAUGAGUAGAAAAUAUUAUACUGUUGUUUCUAUCGCGGCACCGCUUUUUUAUAAAUUCCAUUUGCUUUUUGUCAUCUGAACUGUUACAACCAUGGGAAACCUCAGUCCAUAUUUUUAAAAGCACUAUAUACUUACAGGAAAAACCGACUUAUGCCUUCAUUGAAAAAGUUGAAGUUAAUAUCCCAAAUGUUUAAUGAGCAUGUUUUAGAAUAUUUACAGCUAAAGUCUGUCACUUUAGGGAUUUGACAAAACUUGAGACUGCCUGCCGCUGAAGAGGGACCAGGCAGAAUCUUCUCAGCCUUGUAACCAGCGUUAAAAAAAUAUAAGGGGCUUGAUGAGAUCCUAGAUCUGCUCCUUUUCUCCUAGGUGCCUGGGUAACUCCUGGGGAAAGCAUCACAUUAAGUCCUUUGGUAUCAUGCUUUUCAAGCAAGGUAUGUGAUUUUGACCAAUUAAUUGUGCAUCUAUUUAAAAAUUACCAAGUGUAUCUUGACUCUUGAGUGGACAGUCAAGGCAAAGUUUACUUAGGAGAUAUAAAGUAUGGAGGUUUUAAAAAAUUCAAAUUGACUUUAUUCACUGUUGGAGGAAUUGAAUUCUAUUGCCUCCCUCAUUUCCAUUAUGUUCAUUGUUACAAUUGUGAUGCUCUGUUCUCAUUGUGAUGCUCAGUUCUUGUGUAGAACUGAGUGCUACACUCUGAUUAGAAACUGGAGUUGUGCUUGAGUCAGUCCUGGAAAACAGGACCCAUUUUUAAGAAGAACGAGCAUACCACUUUGGCAUUCUGGCUGACCCUAAUUUCCGCACAGUUCCUUGGUGUUAAAAUCAUUUGAGGUCAUAAUUGCUGCUUAUGGUUUAUAUACACACCAUCUGCUGCUCUAAGUUCACAUCCUCUCAAAAGUAUGCAAGUGCUUGAAAUUUAAAUAUUUCCCAGAUCUACAACAACUUGUGACUACCUAAGAAAUGCUUGAACCAAAUAAGAAACAGCACUGUGGAAUAAAAUAUACCAUUGUGAACAUAUCUGAUGCUGCAAUGAAAUGUAAAGUUCCUUACUUUGCUGAUUUUUCAUCAUAACUCCUUGACUCAUAAAAGCGGUGUCUAAACUGGGAACAGCUGCUAAUAGAGUAAAAGUAUUAUACAUGAAAUAAAAGUUCAUUACAAUAUUUGUACUCAUAAGUCAAAAUCUGACCUGGUUCGCUUUGUGCCUCUGUCAGCCUACUUACAGUGAUAAACGUACACACAAGUCCAGUGUUCCCAAGGAGCUUUGUUUAUAGAAAGAAGCUCGGUCCCCUCAGUUCUAUGCUGUUCUGUGGCCUGGUUGGUACACGCCGUCAUGAUGAAGGAUGACUUUGGUUUGAGAUAAUUUGUCACUCCACAUUCCAUGGAGAAAAGUGUUUCAUUUUGAUGGUUGGAAAAACAUGACCAGAGAAGUGUGUGACUCAGAUAACGUUCUGCGAAAGUUGCAGAGCAAUCUGUGGUGUCUGUCAUAGCCCAACUAGUCCUGGAGCACAUGGACAAUUCUGUACCCCAAUAAUCAGAACAAUAAAAUGGUAGCUGUGAUUCA